rnacentral:pre_miRNA from 1 species
UAAGUCAGGGCGAAUGUCGGUUUGGUAACUGUUGCAAUAAUAAUAUCCAGUGACUAGACCGAACACUCGCGUCCUGUUUUAUAG